AGAUUAAGUUAUUAAGGGCGCACGGUGGAUGCCUUGGCACUAGAAGCCGAUGAAGGACGUUACUAACGACGAUAUGCUUUGGGGAGCUGUAAGUAAGCUUUGAUCCAGAGAUUUCCGAAUGGGGAAACCCAGCAUGAGUUAUGUCAUGUUAUCGAUAUGUGAAUACAUAGCAUAUCAGAAGGCACACCCGGAGAACUGAAACAUCUUAGUACCCGGAGGAAGAGAAAGAAAAUUCGAUUCCCUUAGUAGCGGCGAGCGAAACGGGAAGAGCCCAAACCAACAAGCUUGCUUGUUGGGGUUGUAGGACACUCUAUACGGAGUUACAAAGGACGACAUUAGACGAAUCAUCUGGAAAGAUGAAUCAAAGAAGGUAAUAAUCCUGUAGUCGAAAAUGUUGUCUCUCUUGAGUGGAUCCUGAGUACGACGGAGCACGUGAAAUUCCGUCGGAAUUUGGGAGGACCAUCUCCUAAGGCUAAAUACUCUCUAGUGACCGAUAGCGAACCAGUACCGUGAGGGAAAGGUGAAAAGCACCCCGGAAGGGGAGUGAAAUAGAACCUGAAACCGUGUGCUUACAAGUAGUCAGAGCCCGUUAAUGGGUGAUGGCGUGCCUUUUGUAGAAUGAACCGGCGAGUUACGAUUUGAUGCAAGGUUAAGCAGUAAAUGUGGAGCCGUAGCGAAAGCGAGUCUGAAUAGGGCGUUUAGUAUUUGGUCGUAGACCCGAAACCAGGUGAUCUACCCUUGGUCAGGUUGAAGUUCAGGUAACACUGAAUGGAGGACCGAACCGACUUACGUUGAAAAGUGAGCGGAUGAACUGAGGGUAGCGGAGAAAUUCCAAUCGAACCUGGAGAUAGCUGGUUCUCUCCGAAAUAGCUUUAGGGCUAGCCUCAAGUGAUGAUUAUUGGAGGUAGAGCACUGUUUGGACGAGGGGCCCCUCUCGGGUUACCGAAUUCAGACAAACUCCGAAUGCCAAUUAAUUUAACUUGGGAGUCAGAACAUGGGUGAUAAGGUCCGUGUUCGAAAGGGAAACAGCCCAGACCACCAGCUAAGGUCCCAAAAUAUAUGUUAAGUGGAAAAGGAUGUGGCGUUGCCCAGACAACUAGGAUGUUGGCUUAGAAGCAGCCAUCAUUUAAAGAGUGCGUAAUAGCUCACUAGUCGAGUGACACUGCGCCGAAAAUGUACCGGGGCUAAACAUAUUACCGAAGCUGUGGAUUGUCCUUUGGACAAUGGUAGGAGAGCGUUCUAAGGGCGUUGAAGCAUGAUCGUAAGGACAUGUGGAGCGCUUAGAAGUGAGAAUGCCGGUGUGAGUAGCGAAAGACGGGUGAGAAUCCCGUCCACCGAUUGACUAAGGUUUCCAGAGGAAGGCUCGUCCGCUCUGGGUUAGUCGGGUCCUAAGCUGAGGCCGACAGGCGUAGGCGAUGGAUAACAGGUUGAUAUUCCUGUACCACCUAUAAUCGUUUUAAUCGAUGGGGGGACGCAGUAGGAUAGGCGAAGCGUGCGAUUGGAUUGCACGUCUAAGCAGUAAGGCUGAGUAUUAGGCAAAUCCGGUACUCAUUAAGGCUGAGCUGUGAUGGGGAGAAGACAUUGUGUCUUCGAGUCGUUGAUUUCACACUGCCGAGAAAAGCCUCUAGAUAGAAAAUAGGUGCCCGUACCGCAAACCGACACAGGUAGUCAAGAUGAGAAUUCUAAGGUGAGCGAGCGAACUCUCGUUAAGGAACUCGGCAAAAUGACCCCGUAACUUCGGGAGAAGGGGUGCUCUUUAGGGUUAACGCCCAGAAGAGCCGCAGUGAAUAGGCCCAAGCGACUGUUUAUCAAAAACACAGGUCUCUGCUAAACCGUAAGGUGAUGUAUAGGGGCUGACGCCUGCCCGGUGCUGGAAGGUUAAGAGGAGUGGUUAGCUUCUGCGAAGCUACGAAUCGAAGCCCCAGUAAACGGCGGCCGUAACUAUAACGGUCCUAAGGUAGCGAAAUUCCUUGUCGGGUAAGUUCCGACCCGCACGAAAGGCGUAACGAUUUGGGCACUGUCUCAACGAGAGACUCGGUGAAAUCAUAGUACCUGUGAAGAUGCAGGUUACCCGCGACAGGACGGAAAGACCCCGUGGAGCUUUACUGUAGCCUGAUAUUGAAAUUCGGCACAGCUUGUACAGGAUAGGUAGGAGCCUUUGAAACGUGAGCGCUAGCUUACGUGGAGGCGCUGGUGGGAUACUACCCUAGCUGUGUUGGCUUUCUAACCCGCACCACUUAUCGUGGUGGGAGACAGUGUCAGGCGGGCAGUUUGACUGGGGCGGUCGCCUCCUAAAAGGUAACGGAGGCGCUCAAAGGUUCCCUCAGAAUGGUUGGAAAUCAUUCAUAGAGUGUAAAGGCAUAAGGGAGCUUGACUGCGAGACCUACAAGUCGAGCAGGGUCGAAAGACGGACUUAGUGAUCCGGUGGUUCCGCAUGGAAGGGCCAUCGCUCAACGGAUAAAAGCUACCCCGGGGAUAACAGGCUUAUCUCCCCCAAGAGUUCACAUCGACGGGGAGGUUUGGCACCUCGAUGUCGGCUCAUCGCAUCCUGGGGCUGUAGUCGGUCCCAAGGGUUGGGCUGUUCGCCCAUUAAAGCGGUACGCGAGCUGGGUUCAGAACGUCGUGAGACAGUUCGGUCCCUAUCCGUCGUGGGCGUAGGAAAUUUGAGAGGAGCUGUCCUUAGUACGAGAGGACCGGGAUGGACAUACCUCUGGUGUACCAGUUGUCGUGCCAACGGCAUAGCUGGGUAGCUAUGUGUGGACGGGAUAAGUGCUGAAAGCAUCUAAGCAUGAAGCCCCCCUCAAGAUGAGAUUUCCCAACUUCGGUUAUAAGAUCCCUCAAAGAUGAUGAGGUUAAUAGGUUCGAGGUGGAAGCAUGGUGACAUGUGGAGCUGACGAAUACUAAUCGAUCGAAGACUUAAUCAAAUU
rnacentral:rRNA from 1 species